rnacentral:lncRNA from 1 species
UUUAUACUUCAAAUUUGCCCACACUAUCUCAAAAGUCUUGGGGUUGGUAAAAUUUGUUAAUAAAAUAUUUCAUAAUAAAAAUGAUUCUUUUUAAAUAAUAAUGUUUUUCAUAUUUCAAACCAUAGAGUAAGAAUAUAUCUGGUUAGUAUCAGAAGCUCUAUAAUCUUUGGUAUAAUAAUAUAGACAAUGAGCCUUUGAAAAUUACAAUGAAUCCUUCUCAUGGUUUUUAAAACGAAUGCCUCUGCCUGGGCUUCAUGGCUCAAGCUGUAAUCCCAGCACUUUGGGAGGCCAAGACCGGUGGAUCACGAGGUCAGGAGUUCAACUCUGUCUCUACUAAAAAAAUACAAAAAUUAGCUGGGCAUGGUGGCUCAUGCCUGUAAUCCCAGCUACUUGGGAGGCUGAGGUAGGAAAAUUGCUUGAAGUGAGACCCAGGAGGUGGACAUUGCAGUGAGCCAAGAUCGUACCACUGCACUCCAGCCUGGGCUACAGAGCAAGACUCCAUCUCAAAAAAAUAAAAAAUAAAAAAGGUAUUAUACGUGUUAUGAUUAUUUCAUGAAGAGAAGAGAUUUCACUCAUUAAGUCUGGUCUGAGUUGCUUUCAUUAACAUACUGUGGGAGAAGCUAUGGUGUUCUAGUUCCUAAUCUAGCAAGAAAACUUGCAUGCUUCCAACUCUUUUUUUCUUUUUUUGGAACCCUAUCACCAACACGUGGGUAAGUAUAGAGGCAUCUGCCUGAGGAUCAGAGGCCCAUGAACCAGUCAUUCCUGCUAUCCCAGCCAACAGCCAGCCAAGAGAUAUGUGAAAGAGAU